ACUAUACUAUAGCUGCUUGUAUGGCUGAACAGGCAAGCUGCCUUAAGCUCAUGAGUAGCUUGAGUGUUCAGCCUUUUAAGCAACUAUAGUAGAA
ensembl:miRNA aca-mir-5409 aca-mir-5409